UCUAUUUUUAUUCAGGCCCACAUCCGCUACCAUGCAGUCGAGCGGAUGAGUGGAGCUUGCUCCAUGAUUCAGCGGCGGACGGGUGAGUAAUGCCUAGGAAUCUGCCUGGUAGUGGGGGAUAACGUUUCGAAAGGAACGCUAAUACCGCAUACGUCCUACGGGAGAAAGUGGGGGAUCUUCGGACCUCACGCUAUCAGAUGAGCCUAGGUCGGAUUAGCUAGUUGGUGGGGUAAUGGCCCACCAAGGCGACGAUCCGUAACUGGUCUGAGAGGAUGAUCAGUCACACUGGAACUGAGACACGGUCCAGACUCCUACGGGAGGCAGCAGUGGGGAAUAUUGGACAAUGGGCGAAAGCCUGAUCCAGCCAUGCCGCGUGUGUGAAGAAGGUCUUCGGAUUGUAAAGCACUUUAAGUUGGGAGGAAGGGCAGUAAGUUAAUACCUUGCUGUUUUGACGUUACCAACAGAAUAAGCACCGGCUAACUUCGUGCCAGCAGCCGCGGUAAUACGAAGGGUGCAAGCGUUAAUCGGAAUUACUGGGCGUAAAGCGCGCGUAGGUGGUUCAGCAAGUUGGAUGUGAAAGCCCCGGGCUCAACCUGGGAAUUGCAUCCAAAACUACUGAGCUAGAGUACGGUAGAGGGUGGUGGAAUUUCCUGUGUAGCGGUGAAAUGCGUAGAUAUAGGAAGGAACACCAGUGGCGAAAGCGACCACCUGGACUGAUACUGACACUGAGGUGCGAAAGCGUGGGGAGCAAACAGGAUUAGAUACCCUGGUAGUCCACGCCGUAAACGAUGUCGACUAGCCGUUUGGGAUCCUUUGAGAUCUUAGUGGCGCAGCUAACGCGAUAAGUCGACCGCCUGGGGAGUACGGGCCGCAAGUUUAAAACUCAAAUGAAUUGACGGGGGGCCCGCACAAGCGUGCAGCAUGUGCUUUAUUCGAAGCAACGCGUAGACUUUACUGGCUGACUGCAAAGAACAUUUCCAGAGAGUUGUGGCGA
rnacentral:rRNA from 1 species